UACGUAGGGUGCGAGCGUUAAUCGGAAUUACUGGGCGUAAAGCGUGCGCAGGCGGUUUUGCAAGUCAGAGGGGAAAGCCCCGGGCUCAACCUGGGAAUUGCAUUUGAAACUACAAGGCUGGAGUGUGUCAGAGGGGGGUAGAAUUCCACGUGUAGCAGUGAAAUGCGUAGAGAUGUGGAGGAAUACCGAUGGCGAAGGCAGCCCCCUGGGAUAACACUGACGCUCAUGCACGAAAGCGUGGGGAGCAAACAGG
rnacentral:rRNA from 1 species